UACAGAGGGGGCAAGCGUUAUUCGGAAUUAUUGGGCGUAAAGAGCUCGUAGGCGGUUUGUCGCGUCUGCCGUGAAAGACCGGGGCUCAACUCCGGUUCUGCAGUGGGUACGGGCAGACUAGAGUGAUGUAGGGGAGACUGGAAUUCCUGGUGUAGCGGUGAAAUGCGCAGAUAUCAGGAGGAACACCGAUGGCGAAGGCAGGUCUCUGGGCAUUAACUGACGCUGAGGAGCGAAAGCAUGGGGAGCGAACAGG
rnacentral:rRNA from 1 species